rnacentral:rRNA from 1 species
CCUACGGGGGGCAGCAGUGGGGAAUAUUGCGCAAUGGGCGAAAGCCUGACGCAGCGACGCCGCGUGAGGGAUGAAGGUCUUCGGAUCGUAAACCUCUGUCAGCAGGGGAGAACGGUCACUGUGCUAAUCAGCAGUGAAUUGCCGGUACCUGCAAAGGAAGCACCGGCUAACGCCGUGCCAGCAGCCGCGGUAAUACGGAGGGUGCGAGCGUGAAUCGGAAUUACUGGGCGUAAAGCGCUCGUAGGCGGUCUGUCAAGGCAAGGGUGAAAUCCCCGCGCUCAACGUGGGAACUGCCUUUGAAACUGGCAAACUGGAGUGGGAGAGAGGAUAGAGGAAUUCCAGGUGUAGGAGUGAAAUCCGUAGAUAGCUG